GGCGGGUACGGGCAGACUAGAGUGAUGUAGGGGAGACUGAAAUUCCUGGUGUAGCGGUGAAAUGCGCAGAUAUCAGGAGGAACACCGAUGGCGAAGGCAGGUCUCUGGGCAUUAACUGACGCUGAGGAGCGAAAGCAUGGGGAGCGAACAGGAUUAGAUACCCUGGUAGUCCAUGCCGUAAACGUUGGGCACUAGGUGUGGGGGACAUUCCACGUUUUCCGCGCCGUAGCUAACGCAUUAAGUGCCCCGCCUGGGGAGUACGGCCGCAAGGCUAAAACUCAAAGGAAUUGACGGGGGCCCGCACAAGCGGCGGAGCAUGCGGAUUAAUUCGAUGCAACGCGAAGAACCUUACCAAGGCUUGACAUGGACUGGAAAUACCUGGAAACAGGUGCCCCGCUUGCGGUCGGUUCACAGGUGGUGCAUGGUUGUCGUCAGCUCGUGUCGUGAGAUGUUGGGUUAAGUCCCGCAACGAGCGCAACCCUCGUUCUAUGUUGCCAGCGCGUUAUGGCGGGGACUCAUAGGAGACUGCCGGGGUCAACUCGGAGGAAGGUGGGGACGACGUCAAAUCAUCAUGCCCCUUAUGUCUUGGGCUUCACGCAUGCUACAAUGGCCGGUACAAAGGGUUGCGAUACUGUGAGGUGGAGCUAAUCCCAAAAAGCCGGUCUCAGUUCGGAUUGGGGUCUGCAACUCGACCCCAUGAAGUCGGAGUCGCUAGUAAUCGCAGAUCAGCAACGCUGCGGUGAAUACGUUCCCGGGCCUUGUACACACCGCCCGUCAAGUCACGAAAGUUGGUAACACCCGAAGCCGGUGGCCUAACCCCUUGUGGGAGGGAGCUGUCGAAGUGGGACUGGCGA
rnacentral:rRNA from 1 species